rnacentral:lncRNA from 1 species
AUUCCCUCUUAGACAUUUGGGUUCUGUUAUACAAUUAGUAAGACCUUCACUACUGAGAUUAGAAGAGAAUUCUUCCAUUGUUUCUUUUAGUACUUGUUACGGCUUUUAAAAAAAAUAUUGAAAUAUUUGCUCAAUUUAGGUUGUAUCCUCAUGUAAACUGUGAGGAGUACAUACCAUUUAUGUUUUCCCAGUUGUCUAUUCAGUUAUUUCAAAACCAUUUACUCAAUUGUUCAUUCCAUUCUCCCCCUAUUGCUUGCCUUAUCACAUAUUAACUUAUUCUGUGUAUUUGGGUCUAUUUCUGUGAUUUCUAUUCUGUUAUUGUUUUAUCUCCCUAUUGAUAUUCUAAUAUAAAUAGAUCAUAUAGCAACACUACUCUGUUUUGAUACUAUAGCUUUAAAAUAUUAAAAAAUAUUGUAUAGCUAGUUACUCUCCAUAUCUCUUGUCAAUUUAAAUUUAAUAUUCUUUUUUUAAAAGGUUUUCUUUCUUUAUUUAACAGAGAGAGAGAGAGCACACAAGCAGGGAGAGCAGCAGAGGGAGAGUGAGAAACAGGCUUUCAGCUGAGUAGGGAGCCCAAUGCCGGGGCUGGGAUCAUGACCUGAGCUGAAGGCAGAGGCUUAACUGACUGAGCUACCCAAGCACCCCUAAAUUUAAUUUUCUAUAUUAACUUUAGCAUCAAGGUUAAGUUUUUAGAUUAAUUUAGGAAUGAUUACAUAUUUAUAAAAUUGAAUUUAAAAAAAUCUAAGAACACUAUAUGCCUUUCUAUUUGUUCAAGUAUUCUUUUGUGUCCCUAAGGAGCUUUAAGUAUAUUUCUUCAUUUAGAUCUUGCACAUUUUGUUAAUUGUAUUCCUAGGAAAUUUAUCUUUCUUUCCCCCACCCUGAUUGUAACUAGGGUCUUUAAUCCUUUAUUAUGUCUUUUAGCUGAUUGAUCCUAUGUGUAUAUAAGAUGUUUACUUCUAUAUAUUUAUUUUAGGGAAACAUGCCAUUUAUAAAUAUUUAGAAGUAUAUGCCUAUUAAAAUAGAAGGCAGUGUACAUAAUGGCGGUCUGAAGUCCCAUGAACUUAGCACCACCAUUUAUCGGCACUGUAACAAUAGGCAUGUUACUUAAUCUUUUUAAGAGAGGGAAGGGGAGAAAGAGAGAGUGAGUGAGCAGAGGGGUGGGGGACAGACACUCAGAGGGAGAGAGAGAGAGAGAGAACCUUAGGCAAGCUCCAUACUCAGCAUGGAGUCUGACUUGGGGCUUGAUCUCACAACCCUGAGAUCACAACCUGAGGUUAAAUCAAGAGUUGGAUGCCUAACCGUCUGAGCCACUCACCCAGGUAC